GUAGCCGGUCUGAGAGGAUGAACGGCCACAUUGGGACUGAGACACGGCCCAGACUCCUACGGGAGGCAGCAGUGGGGAAUCUUACCGCAAUGGACGAAAGUCUGACGGAGCAACGCCGCGUGAGUGAAGAAGGUCUUCGGAUUGUAAAAGCUCUGUUAUACGGGACGAAAAAGACGGAUGCCAACAGUAUCCGUCCGUGACGGUACCGUAAGAGAAAGCCACGGGCUAACUACGUGCCAGCAGCCGCGGUAAAU
rnacentral:rRNA from 1 species